UUGAACGCUGGCGGCAUGCCUUACACAUGCAAGUCGAACGGCAGCACGGGAGCAAUCCUGGUGGCGAGUGGCGAACGGGUGAGUAAUAUAUCGGAACGUGCCCAGUCGUGGGGGAUAACGCAGCGAAAGCUGUGCUAAUACCGCAUACGAUCUCUGGAUGAAAGCGGGGGAUCGCAAGACCUCGCGCGAUUGGAGCGGCCGAUAUCAGAUUAGCUAGUUGGUGGGGUAAAAGCCCACCAAGGCGACGAUCUGUAGCUGGUCUGAGAGGACGACCAGCCACACUGGAACUGAGACACGGUCCAGACUCCUACGGGAGGCAGCAGUGGGGAAUUUUGGACAAUGGGGGAAACCCUGAUCCAGCCAUUCCGCGUGAGUGAAGAAGGCCUUCGGGUUGUAAAGCUCUUUCAGCAGGAACGAAACGGUCGGCUUUAAUAAAGUCGGCUAAUGACGGUACCUGCAGAAGAAGCACCGGCUAACUACGU
rnacentral:rRNA from 1 species